AACGGUCUAUACCUGCGGUACCUGCGGAGGGAUCAUUACUGAGUGAGGGCCCCUCGGGGUCCAACCUCCCACCCGUGUUUAACGAACCUUUGUUGCUUCGGCGGGCCCGCCUCACGGCCGCCGGGGGGCUCCUGCCCCCGGGCCCGCGCCCGCCGAAGCCCCCCCUUGAACGCUGUCUGAAGUUUGCAGUCUGAGAAACUAGCUAAAUUAGUUAAAACUUUUAGCAACGGAUCUCUAGAU
rnacentral:misc_RNA from 1 species